rnacentral:rRNA from 1 species
AUUGAACGCUGGCGGCAGGCCUAACACAUGCAAGUCGAGCGGAUGAAGGGAGCUUGCUCCUGGAUUCAGCGGCGGACGGGUGAGUAAUGCCUAGGAAUCUGCCUGGUAGUGGGGGAUAACGUCCGGAAACGGGCGCUAAUACCGCAUACGUCCUGAGGGAGAAAGUGGGGGAUCUUCGGACCUCACGCUAUCAGAUGAGCCUAGGUCGGAUUAGCUAGUUGGUGGGGUAAAGGCCUACCAAGGCGACGAUCCGUAACUGGUCUGAGAGGAUGAUCAGUCACACGAGAACUUAACACCGGUCCGGCCUCCACCGGGAGGCAUCAGGGGGAAUUUUUGAACAAGGGGAGAAGGCCUGAUCCACCCUUGCCGGGGGUGGAAGGAAGGUUUUCGAAUUUAAAACACUUUUAAGUUGGGAGAAAGGACAAUAAUUUAAUACCUUCCUUUUUGCACUUUCCAAAAAAAAAAGACCCGGACAACCUUGGUC